UACGGGGGGAGCAAGCGUUGUUCGGAUUUACUGGGCGUAAAGGGCGCGUAGGCGGCCACUGCAAGUCAGUUGUGAAAUCUCCGGGCUUAACCCGGAAAGGUCAACUGAUGACUGCAGGGCUAGAGUGCAGAAGGGGCAACUGGAAUUCUCGGUGUAGCGGUGAAAUGCGUAGAUAUCGAGAGGAACACCUGCGGCGAAGGCGGGUUGCUGGGCUGACACUGACGCUGAGGCGCGAAAGCCAGGGGAGCGAACGGG
rnacentral:rRNA from 1 species